rnacentral:rRNA from 1 species
AAUAGAUACCCGGUAGUCCACGCCGUAAACGAUGAGUGCUAAGUGUUAGGGGGUUUCCGCCCCUUAGUGCUGCAGCUAGCGCAUUAAGCACUCCGCCUGGGGAGUACGGUCGCAAGACUGAAACUCAAAGGAAUUGACGGGGGCCCGCACAAGCGGUGGAGCAUGUGGUUUAAUUCGAAGCAACGCGAAGAACCUUACCAGGUCUUGACAUCCCAUUGACCGCUAUGGAGACAUAGCUUUCCCUUCGGGGACAGUGGUGACAGGUGGUGCAUGGUUGUCGUCAGCUCGUGUCGUGAGAUGUUGGGUUAAGUCCCGCAACGAGCGCAACCCUUGUUCUUAGUUGCCAUCAUUUAGUUGGGCACUCUAAGGAGACUGCCGGUGACAAACCGGAGGAAGGUGGGGAUGACGUCAAAUCAUCAUGCCCCUUAUGACCUGGGCUACACACGUGCUACAAUGGACGGUACAAACGGUUGCCAACCCGCGAGGGGGAGCUAAUCCGAUAAAACCGUUCUCAGUUCGGAUUGUAGGCUGCAACUCGCCUACA